rnacentral:pre_miRNA from 1 species
UAUAUGUGUGUGUAUAUAUAUAUAUGUGUGUGUGUGUGUGUAUGCAAUCACACACACAUAUAUUUACUUUUACACACGCAUAUA